rnacentral:rRNA from 1 species
CGAUGAACCACAUUCGGUGGGGAUUAGUGGCGAACGGGUGAGUAACACGUGGGCAAUCUGCCCUGCACUCUGGGACAAGCCCUGGAAACGGGGUCUAAUACCGGAUACUGACCCUCACGGGCAUCUGUGAGGUUCGAAAGCUCCGGCGGUGCAGGAUGAGCCCGCGGCCUAUCAGCUUGUUGGUGAGGUAAUGGCUCACCAAGGCGACGACGGGUAGCCGGCCUGAGAGGGCGACCGGCCACACUGGGACUGAGACACGGCCCAGACUCCUACGGGAGGCAGCAGUGGGGAAUAUUGCACAAUGGGCGAAAGCCUGAUGCAGCGACGCCGCGUGAGGGAUGACGGCCUUCGGGUUGUAAACCUCUUUCAGCAGGGAAGAAGCGAAAGUGACGGUACCUGCAGAAGAAGCGCCGGCUAACUACGUGCCAGCAGCCGCGGUAAUACGUAGGGCGCGAGCGUUGUCCGGAAUUAUUGGGCGUAAAGAGCUCGUAGGCGGCUUGUCACGUCGGUUGUGAAAGCCCGGGGCUUAACCCCGGGUCUGCAGUCGAUACGGGCAGGCUAGAGUUCGGUAGGGGAGAUCGGAAUUCCUGGUGUAGCGGUGAAAUGCGCAGAUAUCAGGAGGAACACCGGUGGCGAAGGCGGAUCUCUGGG